ensembl:rRNA 5S_rRNA 5S ribosomal RNA
UGCCACAGCCAUAUCAUCCUGAAACCUAGGACUGGUUACUCACUGAGGCUAAGCAGGGCUGAACCUAGUCAGUACUGGAUGGGUGACCAUAUGGGAAAACUAGGUUACUGUUGGAA